AUGAACAAUUUUGUGAACUUAAACCUAAUGAAAUAUUUCCUACAGGAUCAUAAACAUCACAGAACAGCAAUAUUCUAUGAUUAGAGUGGAUUGAAAAUGAACAUUCGGACAAUGUCUGCUAUCUUGUCUCCAAAAUCUGAGGAAAGAAAGAAUAAGUAGACAGCAGCAAAAGAAGAGGAUAAGAGAAAGGAAGAGAAAACGGCAGACAGAAAGAAAAAUGGAGGGGAGGGGACCAACAGAACAGCGUUACAGGACUAAAUUCAUUUUAAGCAACUUACAGAAAAAAAUAGCAGUCGACCGACAAGGGUUUUUCAAUGGCCGAUGCCAUUAUUGCCAACACAUGGAAGACCAUAAUUAGCUGUCACACAAGAGCAGCAACAAUUUGUUGACCAAAUCAAUGCUUUGAUAUUUUUGUCUUACCAUGUUUGUACAUUUUGUGAAUGAUUUUGUAUUUCGUAACUGUCAAUUUUGCAUGAACAGCUAAAAUCCCAUUUAUUGGUUCUAUUGUAACAACUUGCUCUGCUAUUGCUACAUUUGUGCAGACAUUCACAAGAGUCAUGUAACGUUCUAGUGAAUAUUUAAGCAAGUUCAUUGUUGUCUUCUACCUCAAAUGAGGACAAUCGUUCUUUGUAAAGUUCUCAUCGUUCUCUAUUUAGAGUCUGAUGAAGCUGGAGUGCUAUAUGUUGAACACAUGCCCUACUGUCUUGCAUACACAUGUUUAUUUUUGGUUUAAAACAUAUCAUUAAUGUGUGUUUCAUGACUCCAGUGUGUAGUCUGCAUCCCUGACCUACAAGUGACUUUUCUUCACUCACCUUGUGUUACUAACCCUUUGAAGUCCAGUAGGCUCUCAUUACAGACACAGAAUCACUGCUCUCGACUCUGAUUGACUGACAGUGUGGAAAUACCUUGCAGUCACUUAUAGCUACAAGGCUUUUAGAGUACAAUGUCAAGAGAGCUGGCUGUCAUCCAUCCAAAAGAAAGCCUAAGAUAUAAAGUGAAUGAGCUGUGAAAACCCCUUCAAAGAUGCACUCAACAGCAGGAGGCUAAUUUUGGUAACAGUUAUAAUACAGGCUCAUUACCUUCCCCGUCAGUCAGCUUGAAAAAAGUCUGUGUGCCCUGUUUCAGGUGCUCAAACAGAAGCCUGACAUCCAUCUGACAUGCAAAUAUUAAAACUGAUCAAAUACUUCCAUGCUGGGAAUAAUGAUUUAGACUCAAUAGCUGAUAAAAUCUCAGAUCAGUUGCUUUCUGACCGGCGUGAUGGCUUUUACAAAGACGUCUCCCAGCGGUGAUAUGACUGUUUGUGGGUUUUAAAAUAGCACCAUCUGACAAACAAGGUGGUCUACAGGAAGUGUGGAUCUGCAAGAAGAAGGUUUUAGCCUUUUUGCACCUUUCUGGCAAUCUCUUGUUUCCAAAUAUAGCAGUAUAUUGUCCACUUUUCAACCUGUUUUAGGAAUAUAUUGAAGCUUUAUUGCAUUGCUGUCCUACAAUUUAGAUUGACGAACCUUCAGACUAAAAGUCUGCCUAAUCUCCCCCAAAAGACCUUGGAAUGGCUUGACCCACUUUCUCUGGGGACCAUCCAGUUUGAAAAUCUCAGUCGGCUUCUGUUCCAGAGUUUUUUUUUUUUUGGUUCCGGAUUGAACAGUU